CGGGGCGUGGCGCAGCCUGGUAGCGCGCGUGUUUUGGAGUACACGAGGCCCCCGGUUCGAGUCCGGGCGCCCCGACCA
rnacentral:tRNA from 1 species